ACGGCGGACUGGUGAGUAACGCGUGGGUGAUCUGCCCUUGGGAUGGGGAUUUCCACUAGAAAUAGUGGGUAAUACCGAAUACGUUCGCACCUUCGGUGGUGCGAGGAAAAGCGCUUCGGCGCUGCCCGAGGAUGAGCCCGCGUCCCAUUAGCUAGUUGGUGAGGUAACGGCCCACCAAGGCGAUGAUGGGUAGGCGGCCUGAGAGGGUGUACGCCCACACUGGGACUGAGAUACGGCCCAGACUCCUACGGGAGGCAGCAGCUAAGAAUAUUCCGCAAUGGACGAAAGUCUGACGGAGCGACGCCGCGUGGAUGAUGAAGGCCGAAAGGUUGUAAAGUCCUUUUGCUGGGGAAGAAUAAGCAUGGGAGGGAAUGCCCGUGCGAUGACAUGAACCGGCGAAUAAGCCCCGGCUAACUACGUGCCAGCAGCCGCGGUAACACGUAGGG
rnacentral:rRNA from 1 species